GAUGAACGCUGGCAGCGUGCCUAAUACAUGCAAGUCGAGCGAACAGACGAGGAGCUUGCUCCUCUGACGUUAGCGGCGGACGGGUGAGUAACACGUGGAUAACCUACCUAUAAGACUGGGAUAACUUCGGGAAACCGGAGCUAAUACCGGAUAACAUGUUGAACCGCAUGGUUCAACAGUGAAAGACGGUCUUGCUGUCACUUAUAGAUGGAUCCGCGCCGCAUUAGCUAGUUGGUAAGGUAACGGCUUACCAAGGCAACGAUGCGUAGCCGACCUGAGAGGGUGAUCGGCCACACUGGAACUGAGACACGGUCCAGACUCCUACGGGAGGCAGCAGUAGGGAAUCUUCCGCAAAGGGCGAAAGCCUGACGGAGCAACGCCGCGUGAGUGAAGAAGGUCUUCGGAUCGUAAAACUCUGUUAUUAGGGAAGAACAAAUGUGUAAGUAACUAUGCACGUCUUGACGGUACCUAAUCAGAAAGCCACGGCUAACUACGUG
rnacentral:rRNA from 1 species